rnacentral:rRNA from 1 species
UACGUAGGGUGCGAGCGUUAAUCGGAAUUACUGGGCGUAAAGCGUGCGCAGGCGGUUCGCUGUGUCCGAUGUGAAAGCCCCGGGCUUAACCUGGGAAUGGCAUUGGAAACUGGCGGGCUUGAGUGCGGCAGAGGAGAGUGGAAUUCCUGGUGUAGCGGUGAAAUGCGCAGAUAUCAGGAAGAACACCAACGGCGAAGGCAGCUCGCUGGGACGGUACUGACGCUGAGACGCGAAAGCGUGGGGAGCAAACAGG